rnacentral:rRNA from 1 species
UACGGAGGGUGCGAGCGUUGUCCGGAAUCACUGGGCGUAAAGGGUGCGUAGGCGGGUCUUUAAGUCAGGGGUGAAAUCCUGGAGCUCAACUCCAGAACUGCCCUUGAUACUGAGGAUCUUGAGUUCGGGAGAGGUGAGUGGAACUGCGAGUGUAGAGGUGAAAUUCGUAGAUAUUCGCAAGAACACCAGUGGCGAAGGCGGCUCACUGGCCCGAUACUGACGCUGAGGCACGAAAGCGUGGGGAGCAAACAGG